AACGAACGCUGGCGGCAUGCCUAACACAUGCAAGUCGAACGAAGGCUUCGGCCUUAGUGGCGCACUGGUGCGUAACGCGUUGGAAUCUGCCCUUUGGUUCGGAAUAACAUCUGGAAACGGCUGCUAAUACCGGAUGAUGACGAACGUCCAAAGAUUUAUCGCCAGAGGAUGAGCCCGCGUUGGAUUAGGUAGUUGGUGGGGUAAAUGCCUACCAAGCCGACGAUCCAUAGCUGGUCUGAGAGGAUGAUCAGCCACACUGGGACGGAGACACGGCCCAGAAUACUAGGGGAGGGAGGAGUGGGGAAUAUAGGAAAGUGGGCGCAAGGCUGAACCAGCAAUGACGCGUGAGUGAUGAAGGCCGUAGGGUUGUAAAGCUAUUUUACCCGGGAAGAUAAUGACUGUACCAGGAGAAUAAGCCCCGGCUAACUCCGUG
rnacentral:rRNA from 1 species